rnacentral:lncRNA from 10 species
CCAUUCUGAAGGAGGGGCUUUGCAGGUCUUCAAGUCAGGAGCUCCUCUGGAUGCUCCCCUGCUAACUGCAGCCCUGGCUGGAGUCUGGCAUUCCACCUGGGGACAGUGGCUGGAGGUGGCCCUGCCCAGAAUGGGAGGAGCUGAGAAGUAGGUGAGUGGGAAUCCUGCAGUUGGUGGGGGAGGAAAAAGACUGGGGGCCAAGACAGCCAGGUACUGACUUCCCAUGAGGGGGUCAAAGCUGGAGGUGCCCCUUCAAUACAGCCACACUGAAGGCACCAAGGCAGCUGGAGUAGGAUACUCCAUCCAGAGAUACCCACCAUAGUGCAUCCAUGGGUAAGCCCACAGGGCUGGGUAAGCUUGUCGGGGGAACCCAUGCAGGAAUGGGCGACACAGCUGUCUGCAGGUCCAGCCAGCAGGCUGGGUCAGUUAGAAAUUUGUUUCCCACACAGGCACAGAGGCCCCGGACAGAGCCCACACCCAGCCUGGAGGCCGAGGCAGCUGUGUUGGAGGCGAAGAGAAGAAACAGCUCAGAACAGUGCCAGAAAGGCAGGUGUGUUCUCUGGAGUGGAGAUGCCAUUUGGAACCAGGUCACUUUGCAGAAGUCCAUUUGGGCAGGGCACCAGCCGGUGCACAGAAUCAGCCCUCUUCAGGGCUCCAGACUUCCACAAAGACUCGGGCCUCUGGUCCGGUUCCACCAGACCCCAGCCUCUGGCUGUCAGGACAGCAGGAUCUGAUCGGGUGGUGGGGAACCAGCUCCAGGGCUUUCUGUCUUAG